rnacentral:rRNA from 1 species
UACGGAGGGUGCAAGCGUUGCUCGGAAUUAUUGGGCGUAAAGGGUAUGUAGGUGGUCUCAUUUGUCUGGGGUGAAAGCCUUGGGCUUAACUCAAGAAGUGCCCCAGAAACGGUGAGACUAGAGUCCUGGAGAGGGUCGUGGAAUUCCCGGUGUAGCGGUGAAAUGCGUAGAGAUCGGGAGGAACACCAGAGGCGAAAGCGGCGACCUGGACAGGAACUGACACUCAACUACGAAAGCGUGGGGAGCAAACAGG